GCGCUCAGGCAGCGGCGGUUGGCUGCGGCGCCCGUGCUAGUGCUCCAGGCUCGACGGCUCCUUCACAGCGCCCGCCCGGCCCUGCCGCUCAUGGCCGCCCCGCCGCGCCCCGCGCCAUCGCCCCCCGCCCCGCGCCGCCAGCGGCGCCCGGACACGAGCGACGUCCUGCAGCAGAUCAUGGCCAUCACCGACCAGAGCCUGGACGAGGCGCAGGCCAGAAAGCAUGCUCUGAAUUGCCAUCGGAUGAAGGCUGCUCUGUUCAGCGUGCUCUGUGAGAUCAAGGAAAAGACAGUGGUAAGCAUUCGUGGCAUUCAGGACGAAGAUCCCCCUGACGCCCAGCUCCUGAGGCUGGAUAACAUGCUGCUGGCUGAGGGCGUGUGCAGGCCCGAGAAGAGAGGAAGAGGAAGAGCGGUGGCCAGGGCCGGCACAGCAACACCAGGUGGCUGUCCAAAUGACAAUAGCAUUGAGCACUCUGACUACAGGGCCAAGCUGUCCCAGAUCCGACAGAUUUACCACUCUGAGCUAGAGAAAUAUGAACAGGCCUGUCGUGAGUUCACCACGCACGUCACCAACCUCCUCCAGGAGCAGAGCAGGAUGAGGCCCGUCUCCCCUAAGGAGAUUGAGCGCGUGGUUGGCGCCAUUCACGGCAAGUUCAGCGCCAUCCAGAUGCAGUUGAAGCAGAGCACCUGUGAGGCGGUGAUGACCCUGCGCUCGCAGCUGCUCGAUGCCAGGCGCAAGCGGCGGAAUUUCAGCAAGCAGGCGACGGAAGUGCUGAAUGAGUAUUUUUACUCCCAUCUGAACAACCCUUACCCCAGCGAAGAAGCCAAAGAAGAGCUGGCCAGGAAGGGCGGCAUCACCGUCUCCCAGGUCUCUAACUGGUUUGGCAACAAAAGAAUCCGGUAUAAAAAGAACAUGGGGAAGUUUCAAGAAGAGGCUACCAUUUACAUGGGUAAAACGGCUGUGGAUACCACGGAAGUUGGGGUCCCAGGGAACCAUGCCAGCUGCCUGUCAACACCCAGCUCCGGAAGUGAGGAGCGCCUCUCCCGGCCGCCAUCCCGUAUAGGAAGUGAGGAGCGUCUCUGCCCGGCCGCCCAUCGUCUGGGAAGUGAGGAGCGCCUCUGCCCGGUCGUCCCGUCUGGGAGGUGAGGAGCACCUCUGCCCGGCCGCCCCCUCUGGUAGGUGAGGAGCACCUCUGCCCGGCCGCCACCCCGUCUGGGAGGAAGUGAGGAGUGCCUCUGCCCGGCAGCCCCGUCUAGGAAGUGAGGAGCGCCUCUGCCCGGCCGCCCCGUCUGGGAAGUGAGGAGCGCCUCUGCCCGGCCACCCCGUCUGGGAGGUGAGGAGUGCCUCUGCCCAGCCGCCACCCCGUCUGGGAGGAAGUGAGGAGCGUCUCUGCCCGGCCGCCCCAUCUGGGAGGUGAGGAGUGCCUCUGCCCGGCCGCCCAUCGUCUGGGAGGUGAGGAGCGCCUCUGCCCGGCCACCCCGUCUGGAAAGUGAGGAGGACCUCUGCCCGGCCGCCCCGUCUGGGAAGUGAGGAGCGCCUCUGCCCGGCCGCCCCGUCUGGGAAGUGAGGAGGACCUCUGCCCGGCCGCCCCGUCUGGGAAGUGAGGAGCGCCUCUGCCCGGCCGCCCCGUCUGGGAAGUGAAGAGCGCCUCUGCCUGGCUGCCACUCCGUCUGGGAGGUGAGGAGCGCCUCCGCCUGGCUGCAACCCCGUCUGGGAGGAAGUGAGGAGUGCCUCUGCCCGGCCGCCCCGUAUGGGAGGUGAGGAGCGUCUCUGCCCGGCCGCCCCGUCUGGGAAGUGAGGAGCGCCUCUGCCCGGCCGCCCCGUCUGGGAAGUGAGGAGCGCCUCUGCCUGGCCGCCCCGUCUGGGAGGUGAGGAGCGCCUCUACCCGGCCGCCCAUCGUCUGGGAUGUGAGGAGCGCCUCUGCCCGGCCGCCCUGUCUGGGAGGUGAGGAGCGCCUCUGCCGGGGCGCCCUGUCUGGGAGGCUCCUCUGGACCCUCCCUGCUGCCCAGCGCUGGGGACACCUUCCUCACCCUGCGGACUCUGGCCUCUCUCCAGCCUCCUCCUGGGGGAGGCUGCCUGCAGUCCC